GGGUACGAGAGGGCCGCUACCACGCGAGUGGAUGCCAAUCCCCAAAACCUCUCUCAGUUCGGACUGGAGCCUGCAACCCGACUCCACGAAGCUGGAUUCGCUAGUAAUCGCGCAUCAGCCACGGCGCGGUGAAUACGUUCCCGGGCCUUGUACACACCGCCCGUCAAGCCAUGGGAGCCGGGGGUACCUGAAGUGCGUAACCGCGAGGAGCGCCCUAGGGUAAAACUGGUGACUGGGGCUAAGUCGUAACAAGGUACC
rnacentral:rRNA from 1 species